UACAGAGGUCUCAAGCGUUGUUCGGAUUCAUUGGGCGUAAAGCGCAUGUAGGCGGCUUUGCAAGUUAGAGGUGAAAGCCUGGAGCUCAACUCCAGAACUGCUUUUAAAACUGCAUCGCUUGAAUCCGGGAGAGGUGAGUGGAAUUCCGAGUGUAGAGGUGAAAUUCGUAGAUAUUCGGAAGAACACCAGUGGCGAAGGCGGCUCACUGGACCGGUAUUGACGCUGAAGAGCGAAAGCGUGGGGAGCAAACAGG
rnacentral:rRNA from 1 species